GAUGAACGCUGGCGGCGUGCUUAACACAUGCAAGUCGAACGGAAAGGCCCUGCUUUUGCGGGGUGCUCGAGUGGCGAACGGGUGAGUAACACGUGAGUAACCUGCCCUUGACUUUGGGAUAACUUCAGGAAACUGGGGCUAAUACCGGAUAGGAGCUCCUGCUGCAUGGUGGGGGUUGGAAAGUUUCGGCGGUGGGGGAUGGACUGGCGGCUUACCAGCUUGUUGGUGGGGUAGUGGCUUACCAAGGUUUUGACGGAUAGCCGGCCUGGGAGGGCGACCGGCGACAUGAGGACUAAGAUACGGCGCAGACUCCUACGUGAGGCAACAGGGGGAAGUAUUACACAAUGGGCGGAAGCCUGAUGCGACAACGCCGCGUGCGUGAUGACGGCCUUCGGGUUGUGAACCGCUGUCGCCUGUGACGAAGCGUGAGUGACGGUAAUGAGUAAAGAAGCACCGGCUAACUACGUG
rnacentral:rRNA from 1 species